CCCCCCCCUUUUACAGAGAAUCAUUUCUAUAGUAGUCGUCCCUAGCUCUUGAUUUCUUAAUCAAGCUGCAGAACCUACGCCAGUUGAUGAUCAAAAUCCUCGCCUUCCAAGAGUGAAUAUCUAACUCUAUGGCAUGCCUCUGGCUGCCGUUUGCUCUCGACCUGCCCGAAAGGGUGGCGGUCUUCCUUUUGGAUGACUGUAUAGAGAGUGGUGAUGAUCUCAACCCCGAUUCGUGGUUCUUGUCCUUGUUGACUGGCCGCCGGGGUGGAUGUGUGAGGACGUCUGAUGGUC
rnacentral:snoRNA from 1 species